rnacentral:misc_RNA from 1 species
GAUGAAGAACGUAGCGAAAUGCGAUAAGUAGUGUGAAUUGCAGAAUUCCGUGAAUCAUCGAAUCUUUGAACGCACAUUGCGCCUUCUGGUAUUCCGGAAGGCAUGCCUGUUCGAGAGUCAUUAACAACCGUUUCGAUCCCUUUCUUUCAGAAAUUACAAAGAGGAAAAGGGUUUGGUUAUGGUGGAGGAGGGAAAGGGAGCGUUUAGCCUGUAAAAAAAGAGGCUGUGUUCCGCCUCCCCCCCAAAAUUGUACAGGCGGUCGUGUGCGCCCACGCAUCGAGGUGUUGUAAAAGCUGCCACGACACUUUUCACCUGUGCAGUGCGAGAUUGGCCAGCCGGUUUAAAAACCCCUCCAAACAAUCAAAGGUUGACCUCGGAUCUGGUAGGGAUACCCGCUGAACUUAAGCAUAUCAAUAAGCGGAGGA